rnacentral:rRNA from 1 species
UACGUAGGGUGCAAGCGUUGUCCGGAAUUAUUGGGCGUAAAGAGCUCGUAGGCGGUCUGUCACGUCGGCUGUGAAAACCCGAGGCUCAACCUCGGGCCUGCAGUCGAUACGGGCAAACUAGAGUGUUGCAGGGGAGACUGGAAUUCCUGGUGUAGCGGUGAAAUGCGUAGAUAUCUGGAGGAAUACCGGUGGCGAAGGCGGCAUCCUGGACCGACAUUGACGCUGAGGAGCGAAAGCUAGGGGAGCAAACGGG